rnacentral:rRNA from 1 species
GAACCUACGGGACGCAGCAGUAGGGAAUCUUCCACAAUGGACGAAAGUCUGAUGGAGCAACGCCGCGUGAGUGAAGAAGGGUUUCGGCUCGUAAAGCCUUGUUGGUAGUGAAGAAAGAUAGAGGUAGUAACUGGCCUUUAUUUGACGGUAAUUACUUAGAAAGUCACGGCUAACUACGUGCCAGCAGCCGCGGUAAUACGUAGGGGGCAAGCGUUUUCCGGAUUUACUGGGUGUAAAGGGAGCGUAGACGGCAUAGAAAGUCUGAAGUGAA